rnacentral:rRNA from 1 species
AUUGAACGCUGGCGGAAUGCUUUACACAUGCAAGUCGAACGGCAGCACGGACUUCGGUCUGGUGGCGAGUGGCGAACGGGUGAGUAAUACAUCGGAACGUGCCCAAUCGUGGGGGAUAACGUAGCGAAAGCUACGCUAAUACCGCAUACGAUCUAAGGAUGAAAGCGGGGGAUCGCAAGACCUCGCGCGAUUGGAGCGGCCGAUAUCAGAUUAGGUAGUUGGUGGGGUAAAGGCCCACCAAGCCAACGAUCUGUAGCUGGUCUGAGAGGACGACCAGCCACACUGGAACUGAGACACGGUCCAGACUCCUACGGGAGGCAGCAGUGGGGAAUUUUGGACAAUGGGCGAAAGCCUGAUCCAGCCAUUCCGCGUGCAGGAUGAAGGCCCUCGGGUUGUAAACUGCUUUUGUACAGAACGAAAAGGUUUCUACUAAUACUAGGAGCUCACGACGGUACUGUAAGAAUAAGCACCGGCUAACUACGUGCCAGCAGCCGCGGUAA